AUGAGGUUCCCUGCUCAGCUCCUGGGGCUGCUGAUGCUCUGGAUCCCUGGAUCCAGUGGGGAUGUUGUGAUGACCCAGACUCCCCUCUCCCUGCCUGUCACCCCUGGAGAGCCGGCCUCCAUCUCCUGCACGGCUAGUCAGAGCCUCCUACAUAGUGAUGGAAAUACCUAUUUGAGUUGGUACCUGCAGAAACCAGGCCAGUCUCCACAGCUCCUGAUCUAUAAGGUUUCCAACAGGUUUUCUGGGGUCUCAGAUAGGUUCACUGGUAGUGGAUCAGGGACAGAUUUCACACUUAAAAUCAGCAGGGUGGAGGCUGAGGAUGUUGGAGUAUAUUACUGCAUGCAAGGUUCACAGGUUCCAUGA